rnacentral:rRNA from 1 species
UACCUGCAGCUCGAGUGGUAACCGCUAUUAUUGGGCCUAAAGCGUCCGUAGCCGGUUUGGUAAAUAUCUGGGUAAAUCGUGAAGCUUAACUUCACGAAUUUCGGAUAGACUGCCAGACUUGGGAUCGGGGGAGGUCAGAGGUACUCCAGGGGUAGCGGUGAAAUGUUGUAAUCCUUGGAGGACCACCGGUAGCGAAGGCGUCUGACUAGAACGAGUCCGACGGUGAGGGACGAAGCCCUGGGGCGCAAACCGGAUUAGAUACCCCGGGUAGUCCAGGGUGUAAACUAUGUGGGCUUUGUAUUGGAGGUCCCACGUGGGCGUCCAGUGCAGAAGAGAAGUUGUUAAGCCCACCGCCUGGGAAGUACGGUCGCAAGGCUGAAACUUAAAGGAAUUGGCGGGGGAGCACCACAAGGGGUGAAGCCUGCGGUUC